CGCAGCCCCCCGCAGCCUCCCGCGCCGCGCGGGGCCGGCCCCGCAGCCGGACAAACAAUGUGAGACUUGGCGGAACAAAAGCGGCGGGGCUUGGGUUGCUGAACACGUCUGAGGCCAGACGAGCCGCGCGAUUUAUUGGACUCGGAGAGCCCUGGCUCCGGGUCCAGUGGCUGCUUCCCCCCCGGCCGGCCCCAGCCCCGCUCUGCCCACGGGGGAGAAGCCGCUCGCGUGGGGAGCGCGGCUCAGCCACGUGCCCCCGAACCCCUGGAGAAGAGGAGGUUGGCUUUUUCCUGCUGAUGCUGUAGACUCCAGGGGUU